rnacentral:tRNA from 1 species
UGGGAUGUAGCGCAGUUGGUAGCGUAUGUGCUUUGGGAGCAUAGGGUCGCAGGUUCAAAUCCUGUCAUCCCAA